GAUGAAGAACGCAGCGAAAUGCGAUAAGUAGUGUGAAUUGCAGAAUUCAGUGAAUCAUCGAAUCUUUGAACGCACAUUGCGCCCUUUGGUAUUCCAAAGGGCAUGCCUGUUCGAGCGUCAUUUGUACCCUCAAGCUUUGCUUGGUGUUGGGCGUCUUGUCUCUAGCUUUGCUGGAGACUCGCCUUAAAGUAAUUGGCAGCCGGCCUACUGGUUUCGGAGCGCAGCACAAGUCGCACUCUCUAUCAGCAAAGGUCUAGCAUCCAUUAAGCCUUCUUUUUCAACUUUUGACCUCGGAUCAGGUAGGGAUACCCGCUGAACUUAAGCAUAUCAAUAAGCGGAGGA
rnacentral:misc_RNA from 1 species